rnacentral:rRNA from 1 species
UACGUAGGGGGCAAGCGUUAUCCGGAAUUACUGGGUGUAAAGGGUGAGUAGGCGGCAUGGUAAGCCAGAUGUGAAGGCCUUGGGCUUAACCCGAGGAUUGCAUUUGGAACUAUCAAGCUAGAGUACAGGAGAGGAAAGCGGAAUUCCUAGUGUAGCGGUGAAAUGCGUAGAUAUUAGGAAGAACACCAGUGGCGAAGGCGGCUUUCUGGACUGAAACUGACGCUGAGGCACGAAAGCGUGGGGAGCGAACAGG